rnacentral:lncRNA from 11 species
UGUGGAAUCAUGUUCUUAUUGGUGAAAUGGCAAUGGAGAAAUGGAAACAGGUGGUACAGUUUGGUGAAUCACUAGAGAAGCUGUCCUUCUCUGAAGUACAUUUCUCAUAGUCUCAUAGAAUUUCAUAGGAUAUUGCCAUGACAGUCAUACCUGGUGAAAUGAUGUUGUAUCCUGCCUUGAUGUUGUAUCCCACCUCAAGCUGGAGAGACAGAUCAUCCAGCUCUGCUUGUGUCCAGUUCACAAUUCCAGCAGUAUAUCUAAUGACAGGAAGUAGGCUACAAUUCUUGGAGAACCCGAGGGGAAUCAACAACUGAAGUCCUCCAAAAUGGAUAGUCCUUUCAAGAUGAACUACUUGUUAGAUGUUGAUUCUGCCUACCGGUUGUUUUACAGCCAAGGAGCACAAGCUCGCCGGGCGACCCUGCUCACCGUACCCACCUUAAUGGCGGCAUCUUCCGAGGAGGACAUCGACCGGAGACCCAUCCGGAGAGUCCGGUCCAAGAGUGACACCCCUUACCUCGCCGAGGCCAGGAUCUCCUUCAACCUCGAGGCAGAGCUGCAGGAAGAAAACGCCAGGCAACCAGUAGCACUAGGCGCUGUUCGCUCCAGUGUGGUGCUGAAUGGGAAUGUCUACAAACCAAAGCAAAGAAUAGAUCUCCUACAGUGAAGAAUUGUUUUAAGAAACUCCAUGUAUUGAGGCCUGGUUGUAAAAGCGUACAACUGAGCAGUAAUGCAUUUUGAAAGAGAAAAUUGUGCUCUCUAUGUGUGUCUGUCUGUUG